rnacentral:rRNA from 1 species
UACGGAGGGGGCUAGCGUUGUUCGGAAUUACUGGGCGUAAAGCGCACGUAGGCGGCUUUGUAAGUUAGAGGUGAAAGCCCAGGGCUUAACCCUGGAAUUGCCUUUAAGACUGCAUCGCUAGAAUCGUGGAGAGGUGAGUGGAAUUCCGAGUGUAGAGGUGAAAUUCGUAGAUAUUCGGAAGAACACCAGUGGCGAAGGCGACUCACUGGACACGUAUUGACGCUGAGGUGCGAAAGCGUGGGGAGCAAAUAGG